UUAUUUUAGCGGCGGACGGGUGAGUAACGUGUGGGUAACCUGCCUUUUACUGGGGAAUAAUCACUGGAAACGGUGACUAAUACCGCAUACGGUUCUUGGAAGGCAUCUUCUGAGAAAGAAAGGAUUUAUUCGGUAAAAGAUGGGCCCGCAUCUGAUUAGCUAGUUGGUGAGAUAACAGCCCACCAAGGCGACGAUCAGUAGCCGACCUGAGAGGGUGACCGGCCACAUUGGGACUGAGACACGGCCCAAACUCCUACGGGAGGCAGCAG
rnacentral:rRNA from 1 species